GGCAAGACGGUUCAGCACGUGAAACUGCAGCUGCGCAAGCCUGGUGAUCUGCAUCAGAGUCCCAGUCAAGGUUUCUCUGCUUCACCCAGAAGAUGGUGGGAUGGGGUUUAGCUCAUGUCGCAGAGACUGAAAAGAGACAGAAUGUUGAGUAAGUGCUGUAUCUGCAGCAGUGCCCAGCCCUAGUCACUCUUUGUGUCUGCUGACAGCCACUCUGGUAAGAAUUUUAACUCAGGUCCUCCUGGAAACUUGGGGUUUACUCUAGUCUCCAAGGAAGCAUGGCUCACCCUGAAGCCUAUCUAAAAUUCUUUUUUCCUCAUUCCUCCCUCAAAAGGAAAGACCAAUAUUUUCUUUCCAUCUUCACACAUUGGGGCAUCUGUAGAAUGUUCUAGAAAUGGGAGGUUUUGCAGAAGCACAGCAAGAAAAUGAUUGCGUCUCCUUCUGUCGCUUGAGGGAGUUCAGGUCUUCAGUGGUCAGAUGCAAUGCUUUUCACAUCUUCUCAGAAGUCUUUUGUGAGUGGUUUCCCUGGCUUUAUUACAGAGAAAAAUCACUUCAUCUUGUCUGUUGUUAGCUUGCGACCUUCUAUAUCCUACCUCAGCUGACUUUAUUAUGGUUAGCAUACAGGAUGCCCUCCUCUGCUCAGUCACUCACUCAGUCAGUAGGUUUCCAGUGUAAAAUGAACAACCUCGCUGUUAUUCUUAUCCUGAGUAGAAUUAAUUUUCAAGGUCCUCACGGGCCUCGUUUUGUAAAAAGAUGAGGCUGAAGUGUCUCUUGUGAACACACGCCCACUCUCGCCCCCACUGUUGGCGGAAGAUGAGGUAUUAUUCUGCCGUAAAAUGUGGAAGUGCGCAGGCUUUGGGCCCCUCUCCGUCCUUUAGUAGGCUGCAUUGCUUGGUGACUUCAUAAAGAUGAAAAGGACACGAUAAUGUUCUGAGCCAGGGAGCCAUUGCCUUAGAUGUUCUCAAAGAUAAGGGCACGCAGAGAUGAAGAUGCUUGCUCCAGAGCAAGGCUAAACUGUGUUCGUCUCGAACAUGAUUUCCCGAGAGAAGGAACCAAAUUGGUCUAGGCUCAGCACGGAUCGUCUCCUGAUGUGUUUUUCAUUCCCAGAUAGAAAUGGAGCAGACCAAAGACCCACCCUCAAGGAAUCCUAAAACAUACUCCCUCCUCUGAGAAGCUAAGUUUCUCAGCUUCAGGCAGAGCCGGCUUCUUCACUCCGUUGUCUGUGGGUACUUUUUUUCUCCUUGAGCCAUAGGACUGUCUCAUCUGUAAAACGGGAGUGAAAUAGCCAUGCUGGGUGGAAAGAACAAACUAGAUAAUGUGUUUAGAGUAAACGCUGUCCUGCCCCUGCGACACCCUUUCCUGUUCUACACUGGUCCUUCAGAGCAGACAGGGAUAAACAGGGACAAACAGCUGGUCUCUGUCCCUUCCUGCAGAGGAUAGGAUGCAGGAACUUAAGCUUUCUGCAGCCCAUCUUCCUGCUUCGGGCAGAAGUGUGGUCCAAGACUGGAUUCUGAGGUACCCAUCCUGCCCAGUCCCUUCAGUGUGUCGGUACUCCUUUCUCCUGGUGGUUUCCUGCCCAAUGCCUCAACAGAGCUGUUCACUGGGGACAGCAGGGAGUCGCUGCACCAAGCUACUGCAGGCAUCAGCGCAAUCCCCAAUGCGGGUGUCUGAAACCCCGGUGUGGAGGGGUGUCUCUGCUGCAUCCGGCCUCCAGCCUCAGAACUCCUGACAGGGGUGGUGUGUGGGUCCCAGGCAGUGUCGCAGAGGUGGGGAGGGGUAGGGCAGAGCCCGAGCUCCAAUCCCUCCUUCUCCCUCGCUGGUCCUCCGUUGCUAAGCGGUUUCUAUGGCAGCAGCAUCCUCAGACUCAACUUUCACCCUCAUUUAGAGCCAAUUAAGGUAAAAUAGAGGGGAGGGGGCAGAGUGGCAGCGUAACCGGGAGGCAGGAAAGCACUCGGAGGCUGCACUCUGCGAGACAGACGCACGGACUCCCAGACGCAGCUGCAGUCUCCUUGCCUCACCGCGCUGCAGCCCGCUGACGAGGCUGAGCAGCCACACACUGAAGACCUCAGGACCCUCCCUGGCCCAGGAGACCGUCCAGUUCCGUGUCCCGUGUGCUCUCUCCCACUCUGCACUCCAGCCUGGCCUGCUGCCCCCAGCCUCUGACAUCCCGUCAGCCGAUUCUCCGGCUCCUUGGUGCCUGCUUUUAUUUUCAUUCUUGCUAUCAACACUUGCUUGGAAGAAAAGGAAAGUUUAUAAAAUGCCGAUAGCACAGCUGCUGGAGCUAUGGAAGAAGAUCGAGGUGGAGCCCAUGGAGAUAGAGACCACGGAGGAGGAACUCAACCUGGACAUAGAGCCCACCCCAGAAGAUGCUACAGAAGAAGGCAAAGGUGACACGACCCCCUCGGCCGAGACGCAGCUAUCCUCGUCGUCCACAGAGGAAGAGGGUAUCGUAAAGGAGAUUGACAUCAGCAACCAUGUGAAGGAAGGCUUCGAGAAGGCCGAUCCCUCCCAGUUUGAGCUGCUGAAGGUCUUAGGACAAGGGUCCUACGGAAAGGUGUUCUUGGUGAGGAAGGUCACAGGCUCCGACGCUGGUCAGCUCUAUGCCAUGAAGGUCCUGAAGAAAGCCACCUUGAAAGUGCGGGACCGGGUCAGGUCUAAGAUGGAGAGAGACAUCCUGGCAGAAGUCAAUCACCCGUUCAUCGUCAAGCUGCAUUAUGCCUUUCAGACCGAAGGCAAGCUCUACCUGAUUCUGGAUUUCCUGCGGGGAGGGGACCUCUUUACCAGGCUUUCCAAAGAGGUCAUGUUCACCGAGGAGGAUGUCAAGUUCUACCUGGCUGAGUUGGCGCUGGCCCUAGACCACCUUCACAGCCUGGGGAUCAUCUACCGGGAUCUGAAGCCAGAGAACAUCCUCCUGGAUGAAGAGGGGCAUAUUAAGAUCACAGAUUUUGGCUUGAGCAAGGAGGCCAUCGACCACGACAAGAGAGCCUAUUCGUUCUGUGGGACUAUCGAAUACAUGGCACCUGAGGUGGUGAACCGGCGGGGCCACACGCAGAGUGCCGACUGGUGGUCCUUCGGUGUGCUCAUGUUCGAGAUGCUCACAGGGUCCCUGCCAUUCCAGGGGAAGGACAGGAAGGAGACGAUGGCCCUCAUCCUCAAAGCCAAGCUGGGCAUGCCCCAGUUCCUCAGCGUGGAGGCACAGAGCCUGCUGAGGGCCCUCUUCAAGCGGAACCCCUGCAACCGGCUAGGUGCUGGCAUUGAUGGAGUGGAGGAGAUCAAGCGCCAUCCUUUCUUCGUCACCAUAGACUGGAAUAAGCUGUACCGCAAGGAGAUCAAGCCACCCUUCAAGCCGGCAGUGGGCAGACCUGAGGACACCUUCCACUUUGACCCCGAGUUUACUGCAAGAACACCCACAGACUCUCCUGGUGUCCCCCCAAGUGCAAACGCCCAUCACCUGUUCAGAGGAUUCAGCUUCGUGGCCUCCAGCCUGGUCCAGGAGCCCUCACAGCAAGACAUGCCCAAGGCCCCCAUUCACCCCAUUGUGCAGCAAUUACACGGGAACAAUAUCCACUUCACCGAUGGCUACGAGAUCAAGGAGGACAUCGGGGUGGGCUCCUACUCGGUGUGCAAGCGCUGUGUUCACAAAGCCACUGACACGGAGUAUGCUGUGAAGAUCAUCGAUAAGAGCAAAAGGGACCCUUCAGAAGAGAUCGAGAUCCUCCUGCGGUAUGGCCAGCACCCCAACAUCAUCACCCUAAAAGAUGUCUAUGAUGAUGGCAAGUAUGUAUACCUGGUGAUGGAGCUCAUGCGCGGCGGGGAGUUGCUGGACCGCAUCCUCCGUCAGCGGUGCUUCUCAGAGCGCGAGGCCAGUGACGUGCUGUGCACCAUUGCCAGGACCAUGGACUACCUGCAUUCUCAAGGGGUUGUUCAUCGGGACCUGAAACCCAGUAACAUCCUGUACAUGGACGAGUCUGGAAACCCCGAAUCUAUCCGCAUCUGUGACUUUGGGUUUGCCAAGCAGCUGCGAGCAGAGAACGGAUUGCUCAUGACUCCCUGCUACACAGCAAACUUUGUGGCGCCUGAGGUCCUGAAGCGGCAAGGCUACGACGCAGCGUGCGAUGUCUGGAGCUUGGGAAUCCUGCUGUAAACCAUGCUGGCUGGGUUCACCCCUUUUGCCAAUGGGCCAGAUGAUACCCCCGAGGAGAUUCUGGCUAGGAUCGGCAGUGGGAAAUACGCCCUCUCUGGGGGGAACUGGGACUCCAUAUCUGACGCAGCCAAAGACGUCGUGUCCAAGAUGCUUCACGUGGACCCGCAGCAACGCCUCACAGCAGUUCAAGUGUUGAAACACCCAUGGAUUGUGAACAGAGAGUAUCUGUCCCAAAGUCAGCUGAGCAGACAAGAUGUCCAUCUAGUGAAGGGUGCCAUGGCAGCCACCUACUUUGCUCUGAACAGGACCCCACAGGCGCCAAGGCUGGAGCCUGUGUUGUCGUCUAGCUUGGCCCAGCGCAGAGGCAUGAAGAGACUCACGUCCACCAGGUUGUAGUGGCCGGCCAGGCCUGCCCUCCAGCCUCAGCCUCCCUGCCCAACGUCCUCUCAGGCUCCCGGACGCCACACACAGGUCCUGCUCAUGGGCACUUGAGUGACCAUGAUUCCAGCACAAAGACGGAUCUGGCCUUGGUUGUCUGUCUCCUUUGCAGCCCCGGAGAGGGUCCUGCCCAGGAUGUCUGAGCCUUGCUGUGCCGACCUCGCCGCCGCCUGCUCUCCUUUUCUCCUGAGUGAAACCAAAUGAACCUGUCACCUCAUAGCACCCUGCUGGAGCCUGCCUGAGCUCGCUCAGGGCUUUUAGUCUUUUCAUGUCAUGGCUUAUGUUCAGUGCAAAGCAUUUCUGCCAUCCUGAAGUCAGCUGAGUGGCCAACCUCUCACGGCGCUGUCCUGCUCUGCCGUUAAGAAGGUCGGUGCACGGUCCCUGCCAGGGGCCCGCAGAGCUGCCCUAGAAGAGCGGGAUGCUCCUGGCCGUUCUGAUGUCACCACUGGCUGCGUGAUGGCAUCCAACUUACAUGCCUGUUCUGCCCAAAGUCACCCAAAGAGUCCCUCGCCAUCCUCUGGUUCACAAACGAGAUGCUGGGCAGCCUCUCGACUCUUGUCACUCACUUGUUAGGACGGAAGCACCCACCCCAAGAGUUGGGGUGACUGAGUCUGUUUGAGAGCCAGAUUCAUGACGGUUGAGAGGGGAGCCCCAGGAAGCUGCCAGGCAGAGCCAGUGCCCACUGCAUUGCCGCUCCCUAGCGUUCUGGCCCCGAGGACACUGAGCAUGUGGGGCUCUGCCGUUGCCACUUGUGCUGGAAACUGUGCACGUGUUUGCCUGAGGUGGGGGUACUGGAUUCAGUCUGUGUUUCCUAGUCCACAGAGAGACCGAGGAAGUGGAACUAUAUUUCCUUCCCCAGUUCUUUCUUAGCCCCACUGAGCACAGGAGAGACACCUGAGCCCUUUGGCCUCAGAGAGGCAAGAGGUGCCAGGACAGGCUGUCCACAGGAGUGACGCACUUCGUAGAAGCCGUGGUUCUGUGUUGCAUUUUGUUUCUGUUGUGUAGACCUGUCUUAAAAUCACACUUCACCAAUAGUGUUUUCAGGGUGCAGUCCGUGUGGGGAGCAGGUGUGACGCGGAGCAGGCUGUCUGUGCACUCUUCUUGCAGAGUAAGCGAGUGAGACCCUUGCUGCAUGGCAGGCCCCACUCAGCCUGGCCCUGGAAGAGGGGCUUGUGUGUCCUCCAGUCUCUCUGGGGGGUGCCAAGGAUACCCCCGUAGUGGGCUCAGGUCAGAGGACACUCCACUGUGGCUCAGAAACUGCCAGUCUGAGGCCAGCUCUUCCACCCAGGAGGUGUAGGAAGCACCCGUUAGUCACAUAAGCUUGUACUGGGAAGACAGCAAGCGGCCACAGCUCCUCCGUACCUCACUUAGGUCUAGGACCCAGCACCCGCCCUCAGUGCAAUGCGUGGAACAUGUUUCAGACCUCAAAGUGUAAACUCAUUUCACAAGCUUUAAUUAUUCCACUGCACUUUCGUUUGGGAAUUAUAGACUAUAAAGGGUGGGAGCAGUUGGUGACUGUGUGCCAUAUUCCCGGUGUCCCGAGGGAAGUCCUCAUAAUUUCUCAAUGGAAAAUGCUCUGUCCAAGGCUGAAAUCACUUCCCUAUUAAUUUCUGAGGUCUGGGUCCUUCCAUUUCGGAUAGAAAUUGAGAGGGAACAAGUAGCGGGUAGUCUGUGGCAGAUGCUGUCCUCUUAGAAAUGAGCAGGAGACCCGGAAUCCUCCAAGGGCCUCUCAGCAUACAUCACGGACGAGCUGUCCACGGCCUUUGGUCUGGGUUUGUUUGCAGCUUCAAAUCUAUGAGUUUUAUCAAAGAGAAAGAACAAGAGAAUGCUGAAGGCAUUGCUGAGGAGGUGAGCAUCAUGUGUCCCCACUGGUCACAUGGUCCUAUCACCUCGGUGAUGCCAGGUUAUCUGCCUUACCCUCACUCGCCUUCACACCAAACCCUGUCACUGACGUGUCUGUGAAGCAUGUCACACAUCUGUAGAGGAUGCUGGCUCAGCCCUGCUAUGUUGAGAGUGAAAUACCUCGACUUUCCCACCCUCGCCCAGUACACGAUACUUGAAAUCUUUGGUAGGAGCGGCCUAAAGAGCAUGUGGCGGGAUGAUCUGAACCCCUGUUCAGACGGCUAUGGCAUGUAGUCCCACUGUCCCUUGCAUUCACCUCCCCAGUGAGCCCUUACCCAGCACAAUGAAAGGUCCUCUAUUCUCUACACAAGCAACCGAGGCUCCCCCGCAGCCCACUGUCACCCCCUGUGUGGGUCUUGGAAGCUACAGAACUUGUCAUGGGGAUUCCCCACCUCCAUCCCAGUCCUCCCCUACCCCUACCCAGUGGUCACUUUGGGGCCACCCCACUGGCAGCUCCUGACCUAUCUGGGAUGAGAACAUGAUGGACACCCCUACUGCGUGGGGUGGGGACCUUGUCACAUUCUACCCUGAAGUCAGUGGAGGGCAAGCCAUGAGCGUCCACUGUCCUACAGUCAGAAUGUGUGGUUUAAACUACCUAGAAGCCCCAAUUUGGGGGAUAUUGCCUGGCUUUUUAAGUGAGGAUAGUAUCUUGUGCUAUCUAUCGUUGGCAGUAUUUAUAAAUGGCGUUCUUCCUUACGAUGCCCUUUGGGGUUUUCCCUGCGUUGUACUGAUCUCUCAAACCCAGGAGAAGAACGCCAGGACUCUUCGUCCUCUCUGGCUUAUUUUGCCACCCUUCACCACCUGCAAGACUGUGAGACACCCGGAGUGGGAAAGGACUCUGGGCCCUGUGUGGCAGGGAAAGGUGGAAGGCGAAGCCAGCGUGGCUCAUCCGUGCAGGUGGCACACCCUGCCCACCCUGCUCCCGCCUGGCACUGCAUUUACACGCUCAGCAGUGACGUUUACAGCUCACUCUGUGUCCACGUUUUCUGUCUGUGUUUGAGACGGGCGGCCACUGUACAGAUAUUUAUUAUGCUUUCCAGACUUUCCCAUGAGAUUUUUUGAAUAAACAUGGAUUUUAUGAAGUGUAAUCUUUUUCUG